rnacentral:tmRNA from 1 species
GGGGAUGACUUUAAUUGCCGUCUAAAUAUAAUUUGUUUUUGGCUAAGGCGCGGCGAAGCGUCCGUGUUAUCAAAGCUUCAUCAAAAAAUGCCAACGCAUUUAAUCGCGUGGCCAAUGCUUUUGCCUUGCGCCCCGCUUUGGUUAAUGCCUAAUCGCCUUAACCGAUUUUAUCAACUCGCCCGGCGUUGUUAAAAUCUUUUUCACGGGCUAACCGAUUUUAUUCUAAAUGAAUUGGCGGAUAAAAUUGGGACCAUUAAACCAAUUCUAGCCGACGCUUUUUUGUUAAUUUUAAGGUCAAAGCGAAAAUUUUAAAUUGACUAACCUUGGUGAAUUUCUAAAAACAAAUGUUUUAGCCGUACGCGGGUGAAAUCCCCGCCAUCUCCACCA